CAGGGCCGUCCGGGACUUUUUUGAGGCCCCGUGCUAACUUUAAGAAUGAGGCCCUUUCAAAUGACAAAACAAAAUUUUAAUAUAUUUAAAAUAACAAGAUAUCAUAAACAAAAUUGUACUACUACAAGUCUACAACUGAAAAUUUAUUUGUUUUCUUGGGUAGUUAGACUUAAAUAUGUGUGUGGCCGUGUGGGAUUUACUGCUUGUACAGUGUACUAAUUAGCGUUUAAAUAAAAUUAUGAUAAAAAUUAAAGAGAGAUCAAUUUAUCACGAGUAUACUAAAAGAUAGAAAGAAGUAGUCAUAAAUUGGGGGCCCUAAAUUUCUAUGGGCCCUGUGCUGUUGCACUUGGUGCACUUGCUCAAAACCGGCCCUGG
rnacentral:lncRNA from 1 species